UACGAAGGGGGCUAGCGUUGCUCGGAAUUACUGGGCGUAAAGCGCACGUAGGCGGAUUGUUAAGUCGGGGGUGAAAUCCUGGAGCUCAACUCCAGAACUGCCUUCGAUACUGGCGAUCUCGAGUUCGGGAGAGGUGAGUGGAACUGCGAGUGUAGAGGUGGAAUUCGUAGAUAUUCGCAAGAACACCAGUGGCGAAGGCGGCUCACUGGCCCGAUACUGACGCUGAGGUGCGAAAGUGUGGGGAGCGAUCCGG
rnacentral:rRNA from 1 species